rnacentral:lncRNA from 1 species
GGCCUCCGUGGUCUCCAUGGGUUCCCGGGUUAGGGGUCCAAUCGGAGCUGUAGCCACCAGCCUACACCAGAGCCACAGCAACGCGGGAUCUGAGCCGCGUCUGCAACCUACACCACAGCUCACGGCAACGCCGAAUCGUUAACCCACUGAGCAAGGGCAGGGACCGAACCCGCAACCUCAUGGUUCCUAGUCGGAUUCGUUAACCACUGCGCCACGACGGGAACUCCAUCCCAUAGUUUUUUAGAUCAGGCAGGGCUUCCUCUAAGAUAAAAGGCCAGUUGGUAGCUAUUUGAGGCUCUGUGGGCCCCCGUCCUCUCAUUUGCAGCUACUCAGCUCCGCCACGGCAGGGCAAGAGUGUUCACAGACAGUGUGUACUGAGUGGGUGUGGCAGUGUCAAUAAAUCUUUAUUUUUACAAAAACAGGCAGCCAGUCCAAGAACUGUCAUUGUCGGGUCUCCAAGAUGAGGAGCCGUGAGUGUCACGCGGACGCAUCACGAUGGCCUGUGGCAUCCAAAAAUGGAGACAGGUUUUCACAUCGACCCACGCAGAAAGUGAGACAGAACGUCAGAGAGAGGGGGUCUGGUCCUCUUAUUCGGCACCCCCAGACCUCACUCUGCAUCUUUUUCCCUGGAGAGGGAGAGGUUUGGUCACGGAAGCCAGCGGCAUCGGCCUGGGGCAGAUGGACCUCGCCAGCUUGGGUGCGCCCUUCCUGAAGCCCCGGCCUUGGCCCCGCAGGCUCCCUUCCUGCGUGACCUCACUGUACAGGCUGCCCCUGUGGGUUGACCUUGACCCUCUGUCACCGGCUUGUUCUGCCAAGGAAGGAAGGGUAUUGGAAGGAGGGCCUUGGGCUGGCGGUGUGGCUCCACAGUGGGUUAAGAGGUAGUUAUCGUGGCAUUUUGUUCUGAUUGCUGGGGGCGGUAUAUAGGAAAAGGAAAUUUCUGUGCGUUCUGCUCAUUAGCAGUGACUUUCAGUUUGUUUAUCUCCUUACUCCUGACCUCAUUCCACAAAGGCUGGGAGGUGGGCAAGGCCUGCCAAGAUGUGCUGAACAUCUCAGCUGCUUUUCCUUCUCCAGAAAACAGAGGUUGCUGAAGCUCCCAGGGUGAGGCCGGGAGCUGCUGAGACUCGGCUGUCCCCUUUCCCAAGGGUCCAGGGUCACUGACACCUUGCCCUGCGCGGCUGCGUGUGUCUAAUGUCCAGGGGGGGAGGCGGAGCCUUUGGGAAAAUCUUUGAAUUUUUCCAGGCGGUCUAGAACUGGGAUGGGGCCCACAGUGUGGAUUCAACUUCUCUGGGAGCCCAGCUGGCCCUGGCGUCUGAGGUAGGGUGGUCCCUGCGUGCUUGUUUUCAGGGUCUGGAGAACCACUGGCCACACCGCCUGGAAGAAAUGGCUGAGGGUCGAGCCCCCCAAGUUACCAGCCCCAGAAUUCUUUCUCCCCUUCCCCGGCCAGUCCUACCGUUCCUUCCACGACUGUUUUAUUUUCAUUCUCUCUUCCUAUGGCUGCGAGAGACUGCGUUUCCAUUAAGUAACGACCAUUUCACCCUCCUUUUCAAAGUAAUUUAUGUUUUUAUUCUUUCUUUCUUUCUUUAUGUAUUUUUUAUUUUUGCUUUUUAGCAUAUGGAGGUUCCCAGGCUGGGGGUCGAAUUGGAGCUGCAGCCGCUGACCUCACCACAGCUCGCGGCAACACCGGAUCCUUAACCCACUGAGCGAGGCCAGGAAUCGAACCUGCCUCCUCAUGGACACUAGUUGGGUUUGUUUCCGCUGCACCACGAUGGGAACUCCUUUUUAUUUAUUUUUUAAGACUGCAUCUAUGGCUUAUGGAAGUCCCCAGGCUAGGGGUCAAAUCAGAGCUCCAGCUGCUGGCCUGCACCACAGUCACAGCCACAGCCACAGCCACGCGGGAUCUGAGCUGCAUCUGCAACCUAAACCACAGCCCAUGGCAACACUGGAUCCUUAACCCCCUGAGUGAGCCCAGGAAUCGAACCCGCAUCCUCAUGGAUACUAGUUGGGUUCAUUACCGCUGAGCCACGAUGGAAACUGCCUUUUCAAAGUAAUUUAGUGACGCUGCAUCUUCUGUACACCUGCCCACAGGUCUGGGACCUGGCCCACCUGUCCUGUCCCAGGUACCCUUUGAUAAGAGGUCUUGUCAGCCCAGGUGGGCUUAAAUUAGGACCCAAGCCAAGCAGUCGUGUUCACGUUGCCCAUGUGGCCUUAUUGUAGAUAAAUUCAUGGGUUUCUUUAGAUUUUGGCACGUUUAACAUGUUUGAAUAGAGAAUGCCCUUCGCGACUACCUUCAGGGACCCAAGGCUGGAACUGAGAUGCUGGUGCUCGGUUUAGUCUGAAGCAUAUGCCUUCCAGCCUUUGGGUGCAGGUUCCCCCUCUGCCUGGGUGCAGGGNNNNNNNNNNNNNNNNNNNNNNNNNNNNGGUUCUGGACGGAAGCACAUGUCAAUGUCCGGCUUCUUGCUGGCCAGCGCUCGCCCAUCACUGAUGCUCUGAGUGACUGCGGGGUGAGCAGAGGAGGGAUCCCUGCCAGGCACUGCCUGGGGGAAGGGGUUGUCUGAGUGCCUUUGGGGUGCGGUGCCAGGGUGGGGGGCACAAGUUUCUGGCUCCCCCACCCCCUGCCUCCCUCCCCACCAUGCCCCCAUCCCCCCCACCGAGGGCACGAUGCCUCAUCACUGCAGACAGGAGGCGCUCAGGGAGCUCAGUAUCGGGUCCACAGGCCCUCAGCUUCUGCCCGAUGCCAGGGAGUGGCUGGUCUCCAAGUUCCCCAGGGGCCACCACACAGCUCGGGGGUGGAUCCCGUCGGCAGCAACCGCCCACAGCGGUGACUGUCCCCCUUCAGCUGCACACCCCGUCAUCACGCCCGGGCGGCCUUUUCCAUUUCCAAGGUCAGCUCUGAGCGGGGUCCCAGAGGGUCCCCGCUCUGGGGGCUGCACAGAGCCUGGAAGUCUGGGGCAGGGGCAGACCCACGAGGAAGAAGCCUCUCCGACUGAAGCAGUCUUGGGAGGACAGGGGCCACCCAGCACCCAGGACCUCUCUGCGAUGCCCAUUGGCUCGAAGGUGGGGUGACAGGGGCUGGGGCGGGCGUAUGGCAAAAGGAUUCUUUAGACCUCAAGAAGCAAGGUGGCAGCUUCCUGCUGUGCUGGGCUGUAACGAUGCCUUCAGGUGUGUGUGUUGGGGGGUCCCUUUUAGACCUGCAUCCCCGUCAGCUCAGAGCCUGGGCACGUCUGCGUUGUUUCCACCCCGGUGGUGGCAUUUACAGGCGUGGACUGAGCUCACUGUGGAUGCUCUCGUGGGUCCUUGCUCACGUGGCACUUGACGCCCUUUCUGUCUGCUGAGGCCGCAGGGACGAGAAGGGGGCUGGCGGGCAGAGGAGCAGCUGCUGCCUUGGUGCUCGGUGGCUAGGAACCUUCUUCCCACGGCUAAGCCUCUGUUUCCUCCUCUGGGAAGUUGGGGGGUUAACUGAGAUAACGCGUGGAAGGGCCCAGCCUGGUGCCUGGGCAUGCUGGACACCUGGAAAGGCAGCUGCUAUUCAUUCUGUCCAGGUGGGCUGUGGCAUCAAACGGCCGAGGACAGGAAUCAGGGGCCCCUCUGCGCGUCUCCACGGACAGAACCUUUCAGUGGCUGCCCCUGCCCCAAGUUCCCAGGGUUCUUGGUGGAGGGUGGGGGGGUCGUUUGGCCCAAGUCCCUCCCCAGCCAGAGACCCGGGCACAGGGAGCGGGAGGGGCUUGCUCAGGCUGUUCGCUGUUCUAGGCAGCGGGAUACAGAGAUGAGGGCUCAGCCCCUGGAGGAUGCCGGGCAAAGGGACUGGGAGCCGUGCGAUGCCUUCAGGGACCAUCGAGGGAGGCUGAGAGCUCUGGAAGGGGCCUGAGCCGGGACAUGAAAGAGGCAAAGCCAUUCCCCGUGGAGGAUGGGAGGCCACUGGAGGCGGAGGGAGUGACGGCACUCGGGGUGUUCUGGGCCCUGCGAGUAGCCAGCUUGACGUCGGGAG